rnacentral:sRNA from 1 species
GGAGACGCAAGAUGGCGGCUGUGGUGCUGGCGGCGACGCGGUUGCUGCGGGGCUCGGGUUCUUGGGGCUGUUCGCGGCUGAGGUUUGGACCUCCUGCGUACAGACGGUUUAGUAGUGGUGGUGCCUAUCCCAACAUCCCCCUCUCUUCUCCUUUACCUGGAGUACCCAAACCUGUUUUUGCUACAGUUGAUGGACAGGAAAAGUUUGAAACCAAAGUGACCACAUUGGAUAAUGGGCUUCGCGUGGCAUCUCAGAAUAAGUUUGGACAGUUUUGUACAGUAGGAAGUAAGUACUGUUGUGGUGUCGUGGGUGGUCCUGCAGUUUUAACAUGCACAUGCUUUAGUUGACUGUUAGUUGUAAUUAGCAUGCCAAUUAUGAAUUGUACCCUGAGUGGAAACAAAGUGUACGAUUUCGUAAAUGUUGAGCUUCACAUAUACCUGUGAAACCAUCAGCACAAUCACCCUCAUGUAAUUAAAUCUGAUUAUUAUGUCGUAUUGACAUUUUAAAAUGUUUCUCUUGAUUAAAUCUUAUUUUGAAUAUCUGAUGCAACCUGUCAGUUUUCUUUUUACUACUAGUUCUCAUCAAUUCAG